GAUGAACGCUGGCGGCGUGCCUAAUACAUGCAAGUCGAGCGAACGGACGAGAAGCUUGCUUCUCUGAUGUUAGCGGCGGACGGGUGAGUAACACGUGGAUAACCUACCUAUAAGACUGGUAUAACUUCGGGAAACCGGAGCUAAUACCGGAUAAUAUUUUGAUCCGCAUGGUUCAAAAGUGAAAGACGGUCUUGCUGUCACUUAUAGCUGGAUCCGCGCUGCAUUAGCUAGUUGGUAAGGUAACGGCUUACCAAGGCAACGAUGCAUAGCCGACCUGAGAGGGUGAUAGGCCACACUGGAACUGAGACACGGUCCAGACUCCUACGGGAGGCAGCAGUAGGGAAUCGUCCGCAAUGGGCGAAAGCCUGACGGAGCAACGCCGCGUGAGUGAUGAAGGUCUUCGGAUCGUAAAACUCUGUUAUUAGGGAAGAACAUAUGUGUAAGUAACUGUGCACAUCUUGACGGUACCUAAUCAGAAAGCCACGGCUAACUACGUG
rnacentral:rRNA from 1 species